GUUUCCUCUUGGAUAGAGGUUUUAAAAAACUCCAUUUGUGUGCCCCCAAUUUCAAUCCUCCACCAUCGUCAUCCAUGGAGGGUUCCAACCCCCUCAUCCUCAACGCUGGUUGAUCGCCCUGCCUUCUUCUCGGAUCCAUUGGUGCUGGUAUCUACAUAUUUUAAGCCAUACUUAUUGUCAUAAAGUUCAGGUUUCAAAAUAUCCGGCCGGUCUAAGAAUCAAACAAAAGAAGGUGGGGUUGUGAGUAGAUGCAGUUGUCCAAUGAUUCCAUGGCUUAACCCACAGGAUAUUUUCCAUUUUCCUUUAAGAGGCAAAAGAUGAAGGUUUUGGAAAAGGAAAAUGUUAGGUUGGGGUACUAAGAAGCUCCAUAUUGUGAUUGGAUUUUGUAGAAAGAAGCAAAAUUGAUAUCUAUUUGGUGAAUCUACGUAUUCAUCACUAUGACAUAUUAGGCUUUAAAGGAAGAGGAGUUCUUUAGUUUUACGUUCCCCUCUCUCAUGCAUAUGAAUUAUAGCAAUACGUAUGGGAGUUAACAUUAGUAAUGGAAUUAAUGGACUUCUUUUCA